rnacentral:rRNA from 1 species
GAUGAACGCUGGCGGCGUGCCUAAUACAUGCAAGUCGAACGGAAGGACGAUAAGCUUGCUGCUCUGAUGUUAGCGACGGGCGAGUGAGUAACACGUGGAUAACCUACCUAUAAGACUUGGAUAACUUCGACAAAGCGGAACUACUGCCAGAUGAUAUUUUGAACCGCAUGGUUCGAAAGUGAAAUACGGGCUUGCUGACACUGAUAGAUGGAUUCGCGCUGCAUUAGCUAGUUGGUAAGGUAACGGCUUACCAAGGCAACGAUGCAUAGCCGACCUGAGAGGGUGAUGCGGCACAGUGGAACUGAGACGCGGUACUGAGUCCUACGGGAGGCCGCAGUAGCGAAUCGUCCGAGAUGGGCGAAAGACUGAAGGAGCAACGCCGGGUGAGUGAUGAAGGGCCUCGGAUCGUAAAACUCUGUUAGUAGUGAAGAACCUAUGUGUUAGGAACUGUGCAUAUCUUGACGGUACCUAAACAGAAAGCCCCGGCUAACUACGUG